AUUUUUUUAGGUCCCAGCCAUGAAAUCCGAAACCUGUUUCAUCGCGAGUUUGGCGGUUAUCUUAUGUGUUAUACAAGUUACACUUGCAAAGGCAAAGGCAAAGUCUUCUGCUGCUAACCAUCCGAUAAGGCCUCCUUACCCUGACCCAGCAUAUUUUCCACAGCCACAACACCAUUUUCCACACUUUCCCUAUCCUCAGCCACCGACUUACCACCCGUACCCAUAUCCACCGCACCCACAGCCUCGGCCACCAACUUACCCACCGUACCCACCGCACCCACAGCCUCGGCCACCAACGUACCCACCGUACCCACCGCACCCACAGCCUCGGCCACCAACGUACCCACCGUACCCACCGCACCCACAGCCUCAGCCACCUCCUCAUCCCAAAAAACCGUCAUGUAAUCUCUGUACCGAAGUGAAAGAUGGGCUGGAGGAGAUCUUGGAUACCUUACAAAUGAUAGAG